rnacentral:rRNA from 1 species
UACAGAGGGGGCAAGCGUUGUUCGGAAUUACUGGGCGUAAAGGGCGCGUAGGCGGCCUUCUAAGUCGGACGUGAAAUCCCUGGGCUCAACCCAGGAACUGCGUCCGAUACUGGAAGGCUUGAAUCCGGGAGAGGGAUGCGGAAUUCCAGGUGUAGCGGUGAAAUGCGUAGAUAUCUGGAGGAACACCGGUGGCGAAGGCGGCAUCCUGGACCGGUAUUGACGCUGAGGCGCGAAAGCCAGGGGAGCAAACGGG